rnacentral:rRNA from 1 species
GGCAUGAUACGUUUUCUAGAAGGGGUAGUAAGCUGGCUUUCGGAUAUGUGCACGCCUGUCUGGACUUCAUUUUCAUCCACCUGUGCACCUUUUGUAGUCUUUUUCAGGUAUUGGAGGAAGUGGUCAGCCUAUCAGCUCUUUGCUGGAUGUAAGGACUUGCAGUGUGAAAACAGUGCUGUCCUUUACCUUGGCCAUGGAAUCUUUUUCCUGUUAGAGUCUAUGUUAUUCAUUAUACUCUUAGAAUGUCAUUGAAUGUCUUUACAUGGGCUAUGCCUAUGAAAAUUAUUAUACAACUUUCAGCAACGGAUCUCUUGGCUCUCGCAUCGAUGAAGAACGCAGCGAAAUGCGAUAAGUAAUGUGAAUUGCAGAAUUCAGUGAAUCAUCGAAUCUUUGAACGCAUCUUGCGCUCCUUGGUAUUCCGAGGAGCAUGCCUGUUUGAGUGUCAUUAUAUUCUCAACUCUCCAAUACUUUGUUGUAAAGGAGAGCUUGGAUUGUGGAGGUUUGCUGGCUCCUUACUUGGGGUCAGCUCCUCUGAAAUGCAUUAGCGGAAUCGUCUGCGAUCUGCCACAAGUGUGAUAACUUAUCUACACUGGCGAGGGGAUUGCUUUCUGAUGUUCAGCUUCUAAUCGUCUAAGGACAAUUUCUUGAAUGCUUGACCUCAAAUCAGGUAGGACUACCCGCUGAACUUAAGCUUU